UGGAAGAAAGACCUACAUAG
rnacentral:piRNA from 1 species